rnacentral:rRNA from 1 species
UACAGAGGGUGCGAGCGUUGUCCGGAAUCACUGGGCGUAAAGGGCGCGUAGGUGGUUGGGUAAGCGUGUGGUGAAAGCCCGGGGCUCAACCCCGGGUCGGCCAUGCGAACUGCCCGACUGGAGCACGGUAGAGGCCAAUGGAAUUCCGGGUGUAGCGGUGGAAUGCGUAGAGAUCCGGAAGAACACCGGUGGCGAAGGCGGUUGGCUGGGCAGUUUCUGACACUGAGGCGCGACAGCGUGGGGAGCAAACAGG